GACAAGCUUCACCAAAAGAAAUGCGUAUUUUCCCAUUAUACACACUCAGUAAUGUUCCGUAAGCUCCGCUCUCGACGCAGUGACGGGAAGCGCUUCUCUAGU
rnacentral:lncRNA from 1 species